rnacentral:rRNA from 1 species
AAGCUCUUUCGACGAGUCGAGUUGUUUGGGAAUGCAGCUCAAAAUGGGUGGUAUAUUUCAUCUAAAGCUAAAUAUUGGCCAGAGACCGAUAGCGCACAAGUAGAGUGAUCGAAAGAUGAAAAGCACUUUGGAAAGAGAGUUAAACAGUACGUGAAAUUGUUGAAAGGGAAGCGCUUGCAAUCAGACUUGCACCUGAUGUUCAGCGGGUUUCGUGCCCCGUGUACUUCAUCAGGUCCAGGCCAGCAUCGGUUUGGGUGGUUGGAUAAAGGCCUUGAGAAUGUGGCCCUCUUCGGGGGGUGUUAUAGCUCUCGGUGCAAUGCAGCCUACCUGGACCGAGGACCGCGCUUCGGCUAGGAUGCUGG